rnacentral:rRNA from 1 species
AUUGAACGCUGGCGGCAUGCCUUACACAUGCAAGUCGAACGGCAGCACGGGUGCUUGCACCUGGUGGCGAGUGGCGAACGGGUGAGUAAUACAUCAGAACAUGUCCUGUAGUGGGGGAUAGCCCGGCGAAAGCCGGAUUAAUACCGCAUACGAUCUACGGAUGAAAGCGGGGGACCUUCGGGCCUCGCGCUAUAGGGUUGGCCGAUGGCUGAUUAGCUAGUUGGUGGGGUAAAGGCCUACCAAGGCGACGAUCAGUAGCUGGUCUGAGAGGACGACCAGCCACACUGGGACUGAGACACGGCCCAGACUCCUACGGGAGGCAGCAGUGGGGAAUUUUGGACAAUGGGCGAAAGCCUGAUCCAGCAAUGCCGCGUGUGUGAAGAAGGCCUUCGGGUUGUAAAGCACUUUUGUCCGGAAAGAAAUCCUUGGCCCUAAUACGGUCGGGGGAUGACGGUACCGGAAGAAUAAGCACCGGCUAACUACGUG